UACGGGGGGAGCAAGCGUUGUUCGGAUUUACUGGGCGUAAAGGGCGCGUAGGCGGCCAGCGCAAGUCAGUUGUGAAAUCUCCGGGCUUAACUCGGAAAGGUCAACUGAUACUGCGCGGCUAGAGUGCGGAAGGGGCAACUGGAAUUCUCGGUGUAGCGGUGAAAUGCGUAGAUAUCGAGAGGAACACCUGCGGCGAAGGCGGGUUGCUGGGCCGACACUGACGCUGAUGCGCGAAAGCCAGGGGAGCGAACGGGAUUA
rnacentral:rRNA from 1 species